UGGGGAAUAUUGCGCAAUGGGGGAAACCCUGACGCAGCAACACCGCGUGAAUGUUAAGCCCUUCGGGGUGUAAAGUUCUGUCAGUGGGGACGAAAUAUGGCUGUACCCACAAAGGAAGCACCGGCUAACUCCGUGCCAGCAGCCGCGGUAAUACGGGGGGUGCAAGCGUUGUCCGGAUUUACUGGGUGUAAAGGGAGCGUAGACGGUACUGCAAGUCUGGAGUGAAAUGCGGGGGCUCAACCGUAAAAUUGCAGUUGAUACUGUCAGUCUUGAGUACAGUAGAGGUAAGCGGAAUUCGUGGUGUAGCGGUGAAAUGCUUAGAUAUCACGAAGAACUCCAAGUGCGGAGGCAGCUUGCUGGACUGUUACUGACGCUGAGGCUCGAAAGUGUGGGUAUCAAACA
rnacentral:rRNA from 1 species